CUUCACCGAGCCCAGCCGCAGCGGACGGUCGUGCGCGCGCCCCUGCCCGUAGGUGGCCAGCAGCGCCUGCGCCUC
rnacentral:antisense_RNA from 1 species